rnacentral:lncRNA from 1 species
CUGCCAUCGGCCAGGAUUUCCGAGGACUGGUGUGUGCGGGCCUGCUGAUGAAAAAGUCGACUUGGUCAAUUCGACCGUCCUAGGUCGGGGUCUGACUCUUCUGGGCCUGUGAAGUUGGCCCAUGCGCCUAUGGACUCUCCUCCGCCUAUGGGGCACGGAGCCAGCCGGUCCAUGUGGACUAUUUGGACGUCGUUCGGCUGCCGGUCAUUCCGUAUCCUGGCAUCAGAGUCAUUUAGCACAGCAGGGGGCCUGCGGUGUCAACGUGCCACCGCCCGUGCAGGACGCCAUCAUGGAAGAUCCUCAACGGCACUCGUGUGGGGUGCAACGGCCCCUUGACUCGGAUGCACAGCACGCAGUUGGCGAUGACCUCGGCCGUGUCAUUGGCCAUGCCCGGCCACCAGAAGAAACGCUUCAAUGCGUCCAGUGUCUUGUGGAUGCCGAAGUGGGUCUCCCGUUGCAUGCUCCUCUUUGCGGUACAACAAGUCGCCUUGGAUCGCCAGCGAGUUAAAGUUGUGCCAGAGUGUUCGGGUCACCGGCCCGUACUUGGAGACUUCCUGGAAGUGUGGUUUCUGCCCGUCUAGAACUGCCAGGUGAGGCUGCUCUCGCCUCGUCGACCCGUGUCCAGUUCACCAGGGCGUCACGCUGUUCCAGUUUGAGGCACUUCUGGCAUCCAGGCAUGCAAGGACGGGCGGGUCUCCGGCUUAGUGCGUCGGCGUGCCCGAUGUUGACCCCUCGUUCGUGUACUACUUCGAACUUGCUCCUUCGCACUCUUCCGUCCAGUUAAAGACUGUCCCAAGUCUUGUGAGAGCGAACAUUGGUGUGGCCAUCGUGGCGAGGUGUGGCACGUACUUGGCGUAGUACUGGACUAGGCCGAGCCAUGACCGCACCUCUUUCACGUCCUUUGGAGUUGGCCAGUGUGUGAUAAGGAGGAACCCUGACGCUCAGACUCGAUUAAAGAAGGCUUGGAGCCGUUGUAACAUCUGUUCGACAUCUUCUCCGGCUAUGCAGACGUCGUCUAUGUAGACUGCCACGGUCUCUCCGAUGUCAUUGUCUGGAGUCUUUUCUGCCGGUGGAGUCACCAACCGGUCUGUCACAUACUGGAAUGCUCCUGGAGCUGCUGACAGGCCAAAGCCCAGCCUUGUGUACUCGUACUGUCUGCAAGGAGUUCCUGCGUUCGAGGUAUUGGUGCUGCUGGGACUCUGGUGAUGGCGUUCAGCGCUCUGUAGUCUACGCAAACUCUCACCUCUCCGGACUUCUUUGGGAUGCACAAGAUUGGAGACGCCCAAGCUGAUUGGCUGGGUUUGAUCGCCCCCAUUUUCAGAACUGGGGCCUUGAUUCUCCUUAUCCUCCUCCUGAGGUGUGAGGGGUGACUUGGACGUGGUCCCGAGAUUCGAUUUCGGUGUGGACAGCACCUCCAUCUCCUCCAGGGGCUCGUCCUCGCCCGCCGCCUCACACUCCAGCCACUCGUUAACAUCUCCCAGCUCCUCCACUGUGGUGUCUGCAUCCAGCACCGUGGAGAGACUCUUCUCAACAAAAGGCCGGGUCGGAGUUUGGACUUCACUGGUUCCUUGUGCUGCGACCUGGUUUAGAGACAUCCUGCUCCCCUCCGACUGGGCGGACGUCUCGACUAGUUUUCCGGCUGAGGAGGGACGUAAGGGAAUUGGGCAGGUUGCUGCCUUUGUGGCGGUUGCUGCUGCUGUUGUUGCUGUUGUUGCCCCGCAGCUUGUUGGAAUUGGUAAAACGCCAUUGCCAUGCGUAGGGCUUCUGGGGGAAAAUCUGGUUGCCUGUUUCCCCUGCCAUUGCCCCGCUGCCCUCCUCUAGGGCCUCCGCCAUUCUGUUCGUCCCUCUGGCGGUCCCAGCAAUCGCGAAUCACGUGGCCUCGUCUUCGGCAGUAGUGGCAUUCCACUCCGGAUUGGUUGUUGUUGCCGUUGCCGUUGUUAUUGUGAUUGCCGUUGUUGUUUCCGCCGUUAUUAUUUCUUCGCGGUUGGGGGCAGUUUGCCACGAAAUGUCCAGGCUGCUGGCAGUUGUGGCAGACUGCUUCGCCGUUUACGUAGCCUGCGCCUCCUCUGCCUCCGCCGCCUCUGCCUCGGCCGCCACGGCUUCCUCGGCCUCCACGGCUUCCGCGGCCUCCACGGCUCCCUGGACCUCCGCCCCUACCCCUCCAGGUGGUUUGGGUGGGUGUCUCGGUGGAAGUCCCGGCAGCGGCAGGCUGUUGGUCGAACUGCCUGACCGGUGCUUCCUUGUCGACUUCCAUGUCGGUGUCGUCCUCGUCGAUCUUGGCGAGUCGCAACCGUUUGGCAGGUUGCUCGCCUGACAGUAGUAGUGCGCGGUUAAGGUUUUUGACCGCGUCGGCAAGGGUGUCGCUUGAGGAGUAAGCCAGUUGUACUGCCACUUUCCUGUCGUAAAGCCCUUUGACAAAGGCUGAGACCAGGGCCUCCUGAAUAUCCCGCUCGUUCUGGGUCACCAUAUAUUGGCGCCCUACGUGUUCGAGCUCCAGAGCAAAAUCUUGAAUGCUUUGGUUUUCUUUCUGUUGCAUGGUUUCGAAAUCCCUCUUUCGUUGCCAAUACGAUGUCGCCUUGCUGUAAGUCCUGGCGAGAAUGCUGUCCACCUCUUCAAAGAGCAUCCUGCGGUGACGACUUCGAAUUGCUGUCGCCACAUGGCGUAGCACUGCUCGCCAUCGUACUCGGGGAUUCGUGACGUCGACGCCGUCGGUUCCUGGGUUCCGGCGCGGAGAUUUUGUGGUGGCUGAAGCUGAUUUUGGGAACCCUACGGGUCGUGCCCUCCUGGCUGGCUGGACGCGUGGACGGCCUACACCUCGUCCCCGCCCUCGCCCUCGUCCUCUGCCACGGCCUCGGCCUCGGCCACGGGGAACCACGGGUGGUUGUGGUUCUGGCUCCCCCAAGGCUCCAGGGCCUUGAAUUAUUCGAAGGACGUCGUCUGGGGCCAGUCCUUCAAGAUCAAGUGCCAUAUUUUCUUCGUGAUCGAGGGCUUGUGGCCAAUCG